rnacentral:rRNA from 1 species
GCUUACCAUGCAGUCGAACGAUGAACCUCNGAGCUUGCUCUAGGGGAUUAGUGGCGAACGGGUGAGUAACACGUGAGUAACCUGCCCUUGACUCUGGGAUAACCUCCGGAAACGGAAGCUAAUACCGGAUAUGACGUACGGAGGCAUCUCCUGUACGUGGAAAGAAUUUCGGUCAAGGAUGGACUCGCGGCCUAUCAGGUAGUUGGUGAGGUAACGGCCCACCAAGCCUACGACGGGUAGCCGGCCUGAGAGGGUGACCGGCCACACUGGGACUGAGACACGGCCCAGACUCCUACGGGAGGCAGCAGUGGGGAAUAUUGCACAAUGGGCGCAAGCCUGAUGCAGCAACGCCGCGUGAGGGAUGACGGCCUUCGGGUUGUAAACCUCUUUUAGUAGGGAAGAAGCGAAAGUGACGGUACCUGCAGAAAAAGCACCGGCUAACUACGUGCCAGCAGCCGCGGUAAUACGUAGGGUGCGAGCGUUGUCCGGAAUUAUUGGGCGUAAAGAGCUCGUAGGCGGUCUGUCGCGUCUGCUGUGAAAACCCGAGGCUCAACCUCGGGCCUGCAGUGGGUACGGGCAGACUAGAGUGCGGUAGGGGAGAAUGGAAUUCCUGGUGUAGCGGUGGAAUGCGCAGAUAUCAGGAGGAACACCGAUGGCGAAGGCAGUUCUCUGGGCCGUAACUGACGCUGAGGAGCGAAAGCGUGGGGAGCGAACAGGAUUAGAUACCCUGGUAGUCCACGCCGUAAACGUUGGGCGCUAGAUGUGGGGACCAUUCCACGGUUUCCGUGUCGCAGCUAACGCAUUAAGCGCCCCGCCUGGGGAGUACGGCCGCAAGGCUAAAACUCAAAGGAAUUGACGGGGGCCCGCACAAGCGGCGGAGCAUGCGGAUUAAUUCGAUGCAACGCGAAGAACCUUACCAAGGCUUGACAUAUACGAGAACGGGCCAGAAAUGGUCAACUCUUUGGACACUCGUAAACAGGUGGUGCAUGGUUGUCGUCAGCUCGUGUCGUGAGAUGUUGGGUUAAGUCCCGCAACGAGCGCAACCCUCGUUCUAUGUUGCCAGCACGUAAUGGUGGGAACUCAUAGGAGACUGCCGGGGUCAACUCGGAGGAAGGUGGGGAUGACGUCAAAUCAUCAUGCCCCUUAUGUCUUGGGCUUCACGCAUGCUACAAUGGCCGGUACAAAGGGCUGCAAUACCGUAAGGUGGAGCGAAUCCCAAAAAGCCGGUCUCAGUUCGGAUUGAGGUCUGCAACUCGACCUCAUGAAGUCGGAGUCGCUAGUAAUCGCAGAUCAGCAACGCUGCGGUGAAUACGUUCCCGGGCCUUGUACACACCGCCCGUCAAGUCAUGAAAGUCGGUAACACCCGAAGCCG